rnacentral:rRNA from 1 species
UACGGGGGGGGCAAGCGUUGUUCGGAAUUACUGGGCGUAAAGGGUUUGUAGGUGGCUUGCUAAGUCAGACGUGAAAUCCCUCAGCUUAACUGAGGAACUGCGUCUGAGACUGGCAAGCUUGAGUGCAGGAGAGGAACGCGGAAUUCCAGGUGUAGCGGUGAAAUGCGUAGAUAUCUGGAGGAACACCGGUGGCGAAGGCGGCGUUCUGGACUGUAACUGACACUGAGGCACGAAGGCCAGGGGAGCAAACGGG